UUGAGCGCUGGCGGAAUGCUUUACACAUGCAAGUCGAGCGGCAGCGCGGGGCAACCUGGCGGCGAGCGGCGAACGGGUGAGUAACAUAUCGGAACGUACCCUAUCGUGGGGGAUAACACAUCGAAAGAUGUGCUAAUACCGCAUACGACCUGAGGGUGAAAGCGGGGGAUCGCAAGACCUCGCGCGACAGGAGCGGCCGAUAUCGGAUUAGCUAGUUGGUGGGGUAAAGACUCACCAAGGCGACGAUCAGUAGCGGGUCUGAGAGGAUGAUCCGUCACACUGGAACUGAGACACGGUCCAGACUCCUACGGGAGGCAGCAGUGGGGAAUUUUGGACAAUGGGGGCAACCCUGAUCCAGCCAUUCCGCGUGAGUGAAGAAGGCCUUCGGGUUGUAAAGCUCUUUCAGCCGGAACGAAACGGUACGCUCUAACAUAGCGUGCUAAUGACGGUACCGGCAGAAGAAGCACCGGCUAACUACGU
rnacentral:rRNA from 1 species